GUAGACACAGCAUUGGCUGCUGGAAACAGGAAAUGCAGCCGCUAUAAUUGCAGCAGAAGAAACAAGAUGCCAGAGCAAUGUGCAGCAUAUUCCUGCUCAAAUCGGCGGACCAUCGCAAACAGGGCUCGGGGGAUUACUUUUCACAAAACAACUGCCUUGCUCAAGGACUACCACGAAUGAGCUGAACAGUCUCCUCACACCCCUGGAACUGAGGAAGGUGUAGCUCUACAUUGCAUUACUGCAGGCAUCUGCUAGACUGUGACUGAAUAUUUGAUUUAUGAGCUCCACCUUCUUAUAUCACCUUUUUGGUAUGGCAA